GGCGCUAUGGUGUAGUGGCAGCACAUGGGAUUCUGAUUUCAGGUGAACAUUGGUCAUUUCCCAUAACCCAGGUUCGAACCCUGGUAGUGCCU